GGUGGUUCUCAGGUGAUGCACCCCGGAAUCGGGCUCCCUCCUCUCUGGUUCUGAGGUGUGUUACCCGAGAACUGCA
rfam:Myotis davidii contig42245, whole genome shotgun sequence.